CAGGGAUUGCCCUAGUAACGGCGAGUGAAGCGGCAACAGCUCAAAUUUGAAAGCUGGCUCCGGCCCGCAUUGUAAUUUGCAGAGGAUGCUUUUGGCGAGGUGCCUUCCGAGUUCCCUGGAACGGGACGCCAUAGAGGGUGAGAGCCCCGUAUGGAUGGACACCAAACCUGUGUAAAGCUCCUUCAACGAGUCGAGUAGUUUGGGAAUGCUGCUCUAAAUGGGAGGUAAAUCUCUUCUAAAGCUAAAUACCGGCCAGAGACCGAUAGCGCACAAGUAGAGUGAUCGAAAGAUGAAAAGCACCUUGAAAAGGGGGUUAAACAGUACGUGAAAUUGUUGAAAGGGAAGCAUUUAUGACCAGACUUGCGCCGGACAGCUCAUCAGGGGUUCUCCCCUGUGCACUCUGUCCGGCUCAGGCCAGCAUCGGUUCUCGUGGGAGGAUAAGAACAGUGGGAACGUGGCCCCCCUCCGGGGGGGUGUUAUAGCCCAUUGUACGAUACUCUCGUGGGGACCGAGGUUCGCGCUCCGCAAGGAUGCUGGCGUAAUGGUCAUCAAUGACCCGUCUUGAAACACGGACCAAGGAGUCGUCCAUUAGAGCGAGCGUUUGGGUGUAAAACCCGCACGCGUAAUGAAAGUGAACGCAGGUGAGAGCUUCGGCGCAUCAUCGACCGAUCCUGAUGUCUUCGGAUGGAUUUGAGUAAGAGUUUUAACGGACGGACCCGAAAGACAGUGAACUAUGCUUGUAUAGGGUGAAGCCAGAGGAAACUCUGGUGGAGGCUCGCAGCGGUUCUGACGUGCAAAUCGAUCGUCAAAUAUGAGCAUGGGGGCGAAAGACUAAUCGAACUGUCUAGUAGCUGGUUACCGCCGAAGUUUCCCUCAGGAUAGCAGUGUUGUUCUUCAGUUUUAUGAGGUAAAGCGAAUGAUUAGGGACUCGGGGGCGCUUAUUAGCCUUCAUCCAUUCUCAAACUUUAAAUAUGUAAGAAGCCCUUGUUACUUAAUUGAACGUGGGCAUUCGAAUGUACCAACACUAGUGGGCCAUUUUUGGUAAGCAGAACUGGCGAUGCGGGAUGAACCGAACGCGGGGUUAAGGCGCCAGAGUGUACGCUCAUCAGACACCACAAAAGGCGUUAGUACAUCUUGACAGCAGGACGGUGGCCAUGGAAGUCGGAAUCCGCUAAGGACUGUGUAACAACUCACCUGCCGAAWGKACUAGCCCUGAAAAUGGAUGGCGCUCAAGCGUACCGCCCAUACCCCGCCCUCAGGGUAGAAACGAUGCCCUGAGGAGUAGGCGGCCGUGGGGGUCAGUGACGAAGCCUA
rnacentral:rRNA from 1 species